rnacentral:rRNA from 1 species
UCCUACGGGGGGCAGCAGUGGGGGAUAUUGCACAAUGGGGGAAACCCUGAUGCAGCGACGCCGCGUGAGCGAUGAAGUAUUUCGGUAUGUAAAGCUCUAUCAGCAGGGAAGAAAAUGACGGUACCUGACUAAGAAGCCCCGGCUAACUACGUGCCAGCAGCCGCGGUAAUACGUAGGGGGCAAGCGUUGUCCGGAAUGAUUGGGCGUAAAGGGCGCGUAGGCGGCCUGGUAAGUCUGGAGUGAAAGUCCUUCUUUUAAGGAGGGAAUUGCUUUGGAUACUGCUGGGCUUGAGUGCAGGAGAGGUA